GGGUACGACCAUACUUGGCCGAGUGCACCACAUCCCGCUCCGAUUGUGAAGUAGCGGCGCACAGGCUCGUUGUAGCGGCGAUCAGCUGAUGGGCUGGAACCGGGGUG
rnacentral:rRNA from 1 species